rnacentral:snoRNA from 1 species
AAAAAAGCAUGUAUCUGUCGUCAUUUUAUAAGGAUAGAUCUCUCGUAUGCUUUAGGUAGAUCGCUGGUAUUGUUUUUGGGUGAUUCUGUUUUCAAUUGAUAUGAUAAUAUGACUCAAUACACAAUGCCACAUUC